rnacentral:rRNA from 1 species
UACGUAGGGCGCAAGCGUUGUCCGGAAUUAUUGGGCGUAAAGAGCUCGUAGGCGGUUUGUCGCGUCUGCUGUGAAAUCCCGAGGCUCAACCUCGGGCUUGCAGUGGGUACGGGCAGACUAGAGUCCGGAAGAGGAGAGUGGAAUUCCUGGUGUAGCGGUGAAAUGCGCAGAUAUCAGGAAGAACACCCGUGGCGAAGGCGGCUCUCUGGGGACGGUACUGACCGCUGAGACGCGAAAGCGUGGGGAGCGAACAGG